GACGAACGCUGGCGGCGUGCUUAACACAUGCAAGUCGAACGGAAAGGCCCUGCUUUUGUGGGGUGCUCGAGUGGCGAACGGGUGAGUAACACGUGAGUAACCUGCCCUUGACUUUGGGAUAACUUCAGGAAACUGGGGCUAAUACCGGAUAGGAGCUCCUGCUGCAUGGUGGGGGUUGGAAAGUUUCGGCGGUUGGGGAUGGACUCGCGGCUUAUCAGCUUGUGGGUGGGGUAGUGGCUUACCAAGGCUUUGACGGGUAGCCGGCCUGAGAGGGUGACCGGCCACAAUGGGACUGAGAUACGGCCCAGACUCCUACGGGAGGCAGCAGUGGGGAAUAUUGCACAAUGGGCGGAAGCCUGAUGCAGCAACGCCGCGUGCGGGAUGACGGCCUUCGGGUUGUAAACCGCUUUCGCCUGUGACGAAGCGUGAGUGACGGUAAUGGGUAAAGAAGCACCGGCUAACUACGUG
rnacentral:rRNA from 1 species